rnacentral:rRNA from 1 species
AUUAAACGCUGGCGGCAUGCCUUACACAUGCAAGUCGAACGGCAGCACGGGGGCAACCCUGGUGGCGAGUGGCGAACGGGUGAGUAAAGCAUCGGAACGUGCCCUGGAGUGGGGGAUAACGUAGCGAAAGUUACGCUAAUACCGCAUAUUCUGUGAGCAGGAAAGCAGGGGAUCGCAAGACCUUGCGCUCUGGGAGCGGCCGAUGUCGGAUUAGCUAGUUGGUGGGGUAAAGGCCUACCAAGGCGACGAUCCGUAGCGGGUCUGAGAGGAUGAUCCGCCACACUGGGACUGAGACACGGCCCAGACUCCUACGGGAGGCAGCAGUGGGGAAUUUUGGACAAUGGGCGAAAGCCUGAUCCAGCCAUGCCGCGUGAGUGAAGAAGGCCUUCGGGUUGUAAACCCGUUUACCUAGCAGGGACGAAGUCAAGACGGUACCUGCAGAAGAAG